AGCACCCUCACAGGUCACAGACACGACCAGGUUGGUUCUGUCUUCUGAAUACAGUAGACAUUGACUGAUACCCAUUUCUCAUUAACCAAGACUUUGAUUCCAGCAGUCAGACUGAUGUGUGCCUUCAGGAUUGCUUGUUGCAGAAACAAGAAAGCUGAAAACGCUGUAUAGACUAUACUGGUUUGUUUGCUUAAACUUCCUACCAGCGUCUUGAGCUAAAGGGUUUGCUCCCCUUUCCCUGCAUUUUCUCCCCUACUUGUUCAGUACUUUGGUUUCUGGAUGCAGCAGAAGUUGCCUGGUGGUACCAGCUCAUACCCUCAGCUCUUCCAAGGAGAGAAAUCCAAACGCUUGGGCAGGUUCAGUGUCACUUGUGUUUAAGUUGACAGGUUUAAGAUGCAGUAUGGGGUUUGGAGCUAGCGCAGAAAUAGAGGAUGGGUUUUGUAAGCCUCGCUGCACAUCAUACAGUUGCCCUGACAUGAGCAAAUACAUGGCAGGAGAGCGCAUUAACAGCCAGUCUCCCUUGCGCAAAAGACAUGAUGCAAUUUCUCAGGCCUGUCCCCUUGUUUGAAACAAUCAUUGCAAACUUAAAAGAGCCUGUUCUAAACCCCAAAAUAAGGUUCUCUUCUCAAACCUUCUUUCCAGGGGCAGGAACACGAAGAAGCUGCUGCUUUUCUGUGUGUUGCAGGAGAGUUAUCUGAUAACCACAGGAAUCCGAGGCAAAGCACAAUGAGCUCCAGCUUCCUUGUAAUGAGCUUGCCAGUGUAAACAACUGUGGCCCGUGAGUCUCUUCCUCUAAACUGCUUCAGAAAACAAUCCCGAAAUGGAAGAUCCCUGCUUCCCUGAGACCGGAGCGAGUAUGGGAAUUCCUGUCCUAAAGCACAGAGCCUAUUUAAGGUCCAAUUUAGCUCUUGAUUCUUAUCCACUGUUCUCUCCAGCUCCUGAUGCAUGGUUUAUAGCCAGAAGAGGCACGGGAGGAAGCCAGAGCUGGGAAACCUCCGCACUGGAAGCAGGGAUGUGGAUGCUCAUGGAGCCACCGUUGAUGGGCUGCACACCCGGAGGCUGGGCAAUGCCAUUGGGAAGCUUUCCCCAUGCAGUGGCUGUUGGGUGGCUGUUGUGACACAGGGACACCGCAGGGAAAUCAGAAGAAAGUUGGCUGAGUCACUCCUGAUGCUGCAUCCAGGCUCUCAGCCACGUGCUUUGCAACUAGGAAAGAUUAAGAUCUUAGUUCUGGCGUUUCUCCUGCCUUCUGCAGCCAGAACACAGCCCGUGCCUGCCCUUUGUGGGAGCCUUGGGAAUGCUGGCAUUCCAGCUGUGUGGUUUUAGGUCACUUCCAGAGAAGUGGAUCCAUUCUGAUGGGAGUAGCCGACUGCCUCGGCAUGCAGCUGUGUUGUGAGGGAUGAAGGGCAGCUCCCACCUCACAUCGCGUCGCUGUCGGAGGUUUGGACCUUGUUUGUGUCCAUCACCGCUGGAUUUACCUUCACUGACGUUCAGACUCUGACCCUACCAAGGUUGUUAUCAGGUACCUCUGGAUUUCAGUGGCCAAAUGAGCAAAACCAGGGAUCCCAGCAAGGGCUUCCCCUGCCUAGUGCAAAAUAAAGACCAACCUCGGCUGAACUGAUUCAUCCCACUUCAACCCUCUCUUCAGGAGCACUCUUUGCCUUCCUGGAGCUACUUGAUUCAUUAGGAAUUGGCUUGUGAAUGUAUCAGGAGUCUAAAGCUCAUAUUCCCACAGGCACAUGGGGACAUGGUGGAAUGAAUGUGUAUAUUGUAUCUCUACAGUACAGCCUUCUGGGGUUGUCACACUAUUUGAAGGAGGUUUGAAAAAGGGACUUCGCUAACUGAGCAACUAUACGUAGGUUUCUUAUCCUAAACUAUAGUGCUAUACCUACUCCGAUAUUAUUUAGAAAGCUUUUGAUAAGUAGCACCAUCUGCACUGAAAAUUAAAUUAAGGAUGUUAAAGAGGAGUUUAAUAAAACAGGUUUGUGGAAAAAAAAAUAAUCUUUAAAGCUCCACAUUUUAGUUCAGAUUUCAGAUGCAGAUUUCCUCAAGGAUGCUGGCAGGAUUCAUUUCUCCUUUGUAUAUGUAACAUUUAUCCAUAUAGGCCAUUAUACAGCUCCUUUCAUGCUGAGUCUUAUACUGGAAUACAGCAAAAGCCAGAUUUAAGAUAUGAAACUGGAGAUGACCACAUUUCAUACUGCAUAAAAUGCACCUCUGGAAUUUUCAGUUCUUCUUUUUUGGUGUAUUACAAAUGUAUUUAUAAAGUAUUGUGGCUGAUGAGCUAAAAAAUGGGGGGGUCGAGGGGGGAGAAAAAAAGAGGCAAACCCCUGUGGCUUUGGAUAUAUUCACUUCAAGUUUGUGGUUACUGUUUCCCAGGCUGCUUAAAGGUGAGUAUAAGUUCAGUCAUCGUAUUGCUGCUUCACCGGUCCCUGCUGGUGUUUCUAAAGGACUCUGAUAGGCGAUGGUGAACAACAGA